UAACGAAUCUUCCCCAAUGCGCGAAAGCGUGACGGAGCAACGCCGCGUGCGGGAGGAAGGCCUGUGGGUUGUAAACCGCUUUUCUCUAGGAAGAAGGUCUGACGGUACUAGAGGAAUCAGCAUCGGCUAACUCCGUGCCAGCAGCCGCGGUAAGACGGAGGAUGCAAGCGUUAUCCGGAAUUAUUGGGCGUAAAGCGUCCGUAGGCGGUUUAUCAAGUCAGUUGUUAAAGACUGCAGCUCAACUGUGGGCGAGCAACUGAAACUGAUGAACUAGAGUGCGGUAGGGGUAGAGGGAAUUCCCAGUGUAGCGGUGAAAUGCGUAGAUAUUGGGAAGAACACCAGUGGCGAAGGCGCUCUACUGGGCCGCAACUGACGCUGAGGGACGAAAGCUAGGGGAGCGAAAGGGAUUAGAUACCCCCGUAGUCC
rnacentral:rRNA from 1 species